ACACUAUCUGCCUAGCAGAGGCUUGGAUCCCAGAGAGUUCCCCUGUCUUCUGUCUGGUACACUUGGAGGGAAGAUCGCCUGAGCUGGUAUGUUGGCUUGGCAGCUGGCACUACACAUACACACCAGAGGAAGCAGGUUAUUGAAAUGACAGACCCCCAAGAAAACGGGAUUCUCCCGGGAAUUUCACACUAGGAGAAGAGAAGCCACAAGCCUAGGCCAGUCGGGGACAGGACACUUCUCCUGGGGAGAGCCUAGGACCUCGGUCGAUCACCUGACAGGAGAGGCUGGACGGGACCACACCUUGACCUUGGCCUGCUGAGCUCUGCAUAACUCUGGGCCUCUGGUGACUCCUCUGUCUCAUUUCAGGACUCACAUGGACUUGGGGUGGGGGGAGGGGGAGUCACACGAGCUCUGUCCAUUUUCUCAAUGUCGCUACAUCGAGUAAACCUCCUUUCCCUGCUUUUUA
rnacentral:lncRNA from 1 species